AGAGUUUGAUCCUGGCUCAGAACGAACGCUGGCGGCGCGCCUAAUACAUGCAAGUCGAGCGAGAAGGUGUAGCAAUACACUUGUAAAGCGGCGAACGGGUGAGGAAUGCAUGGGUAACCUACCCUCGAGUGGGGAAUAACUAGCCGAAAGGUUAGCUAAUACCGCAUACGUUUCCGGGACUUCGGUUCCGGAAAGAAAGCAAUACCGUGGGUAUUGCGCUCAUGGAUGGGCUCAUGUCCUAUCAGCUUGUUGGUGAGGUAACGGCUCACCAAGGCUUCGACGGGUAGCUGGUCUGAGAGGACGAUCAGCCACACUGGCACUGCGACACGGGCCAGACUCCUACGGGAGGCAGCAGUAAGGAAUAUUGCGCAAUGGACGAAAGUCUGACGCAGCGACGCCGCGUGGGGGAUGAAGGUCUUCGGAUUGUAAACCCCUUUCGGGAGGGAAGAUGGAGUGGGUAACCACUUGGACGGUACCUCCAGAAGCAGCCACGGCUAACUUCGUGCCAGCAGCCGCGGUAAUACGAAGGUGGCAAGCGUUGUUCGGAUUCACUGGGCGUACAGGGAGCGUAGGCGGUUGGGUAAGCCCUCCGUGAAAUCUCCGGGCCUAACCCGGAAAGUGCAGAGGGGACUGCUCAGCUAGAGGAUGGGAGAGGAGCGCGGAAUUCCCGGUGUAGCGGUGAAAUGCGUAGAGAUCGGGAGGAAGGCCGGUGGCGAAGGCGGCGCUCUGGAACAUUUCUGACGCUGAGGCUCGAAAGCGUGGGGAGCAAACAGGAUUAGAUACCCCGGUAGUCCAA
rnacentral:rRNA from 1 species